rnacentral:misc_RNA from 1 species
GAUGAAGAACGUAGCGAAAUGCGAUACUUGGUGUGAAUUGCAGAAUCCCGUGAACCAUCGAGUCUUUGAACGCAAGUUGCGCCCGAAGCCACUAGGCCGAGGGCACGCCUGCCUGGGCGUCACACGUCGUUGCCCCCCCAUCUACUCCUUCGGGAUUGCGGGGGGGCGGAUGAUGGCCUCCCGUGCGCCUAGCCGCGCGGUUGGCAUAAAUACCAAGUCCUCGGCGACGCACGCCACGACAAUCGGUGGUUGCGAAACCUCGGUUGCCCAUCGUGUGCGUUCGUCGCGCAUCGAGGGCUCGAAAAAAUGCUCGGCUUCGGCUCGGCUUUCAACGCGACCCCAGGUCAGGCGGGGUUACCCGCUGAAUUUAAGCAUAUCAAUAAGCGGAGGA